rnacentral:rRNA from 1 species
AAUGAACGUUGGCGGCGUGGAUUAGGCAUGCAAGUCGUACGAGAAUCGUAGCAAUACGAGGAAAGUGGCGGAAGGGAGAGGAUUACGUGGGAAUCUACCCUCAGAACUGGGAUAGCGGCGGGAAACUGCCGGUAAUACCAGAUAAUGUCUGUGGACCAAAGGUGUGAUUCCGUCUGGGGAUGAGCCCACGUCCUAUUAGCUAGUUGGCAGGGUAAUGGCCUACCAAGGCAAUGAUGGGUAGCGGGUGUGGGAGCAGGACUCGCCUCACUGGGACUGGGAACUGCCCAGACACCUACGGGUGGCUGCAGUAGAGAAUCUUCGGCAAUGAGCGCAAGCUUGACCGAGCGACGCCGCGUGCGGGAUGAAGGCCUUCGGGUUGUAAACCGCUGUCGUAGGGGAGCAAGAGAUGAGGGUACUCCCUCUGAUUUGAGCGAUCCUAGGGGGAAGGACGGGCUAAGUUCGUGCCAGCCGCCGCGGUAAUAC